GAUGAACGCUGGCGGCGUGCCUAAUACAUGCAAGUCGAGCGAACAGACGAGGAGCUUGCUCCUCUGACGUUAGCGGCGGACGGGUGAGUAACACGUGGAUAACCUACCUAUAAGACUGGGAUAACUUCGGGAAACCGGAGCUAAUACCGGAUAAUAUAUUGAAACGCAUGGUUCCAUAGUGAAAGACGGUUUUGCUGUCACUUAUAGAUGGAUCCGCGCCGCAUUAGCUAGUUGGUAAGGUAACGGCUUACCAAGGCAACGAUGCGUAGCCGACCUGAGAGGGUGUUCCGACAUACAGUAUGUGCGACGCGCAGCAGAUUCCUACGGGAGGCAGGGAUAGAGAAAUAGCCGCAAUGGUCGAGAGCGUGAGGAAGCAACGUCGCGUGGGUGAUGAUGGUCUUCGGAGCGUAAGACGUUGUUAAUAUGGAAGUAUUAAUGUGUAAGGAACUAUGCACAUCUCUACGGCACCUAAUCAGAAGGCCACGGCUAACUACGUG
rnacentral:rRNA from 1 species